rnacentral:lncRNA from 1 species
UUUUGCUUUUAUUUCUGUUGCUUUGGGAGACUGACCUGAGAAAACAUUUGUAAGGUAGAUGUCAGAGAAUGUUUUGCCUAUGUUCUCUUCCAGGAGUUUGAUGGUGUCUUGUCUUAUAUUUAAGUCUUUCAGCCACUUGGAGUUUAUUUUCGUGCAUGGCGUGAGGGUAUGUUCUCGUUUCAUUGCUUUGCAUGCAGCUGUCUAGGUUUCCCAGCAAUACUUGCUGAAAAGACUGCCUUUUCCCCAUUUUAUGUUCUUGUCUCCUUUGUCAAAUACUAACUGACCAAAGGUGUCUGGGUUUACUUCUGGGUUCUCUAUUCUGUUCCAUUGGUCUGUCUGUCUGUUUUGGUACCAGUACCACACUGUCUUGAUGACUGUGGCUUUGUAAUACUGUCUAAAGUCUGGGAGAGUAAGGCCUCCUGCUUGGUUUUUGUUCCUCAGAAUUGCUUUGGCAAUUCUGGGUCUUUUGUGGUUCCAUAUAAAUUUUUGGAUUGUUUGUUCUAAUUCUGUGGAAAAUGUCAUGGGUAAUUUGGUAGGGAUUGCAUUGAACAUGUAGUAUGGCCAUUUUUACAAUAUUAAUUUGGCUAGUAUGGCCAUUUUUACAAUAUUAAUUUUUCCAACCCAGGAGCAUGGGAUAUCUUUCCAUUUCUUUACAUCUCCUUUAAUUUCCUGGAUUAAUGUUUUAUAGGUCUCAGCAUAUAAGUCCUUUACCUCCUUGGUCAGGUGUAUUCCCAGGUAUUUGAUUUUUGGGGGGUGCAAUUUUAAAAGAUAUUGUAUUUUUAGACAGGAUUAAGAUGGCAGAAUAGGACUGGAGCUCAACUUCUCUCCUAAAAACAACAAAAUUCACAACUAAAGACUGAGCAAUCUCCACCCAAAUGGACCAGAAACCUUAAAAAAGAUACCCUACUCCAGAAGAAAAAGAGGAGGCCACAUCAAGAGGUAGGAGGGGUGAUUUCGUGAUAUAAACAACCCCAUACCUCCCGGGUGGGAAGCUCCACAGGCUGAAAACUAACUGGUUCACAGAGACUCACCUACAGGAGUGAGAGUUCUGAGCCCCACAUCAAACCCUCACAUGCGGGGAUCCGGCACUGGGAGAAAGAGCCCCUGGAGCAUCUGGCAUUGAAGGCCAGUGUGGCUUAUGCGCAGGAGCUCCAUAGGACUGGGGGAAAUGGAGACCCCAUUCUUAAAAGGUGCACAUGGACUUUCACGUGCACUGGGUCCCAGGGCAGAGCGAGGUCGCCAUAAGAAUCUGGGUCAAACCUGACUGCAGUUCUUGGAGGACAUCCUGGGAAAACAGGGGUGAAUGUGGCUUGUUGUGAGGGAAGGACGUUGAAGGCAAAGCCCUCGGGAAUAUUCAGCAGCUGCCUUUCUCUGGAGGUGGCCAUUUCGGGAAAAUCUGGCCCCACCCAUCAGUCAGGGCUGAGAAACCCCAGUCAAACAACAAUCCAGGUGGGAUCACAGACCCGCCCCUCAGUAAACAGACUACCUAAAGACCCCUCAGGCACACAGCUGCCUCUAAUCCCAUCCAGAGACUAAGCCCCACCCACCAGAGGGAUUAGAAUCAGCUCCACCUACCAGUGGGCAGGCAUCAGCCCCUCCUAUCAGGAAGCCUACAGCAAGCCCUCAAGUGACUUCAGCCACAGGGGGGCAGACAACAGAAGUAAGAGAGGCUACAACCCUAUUAUCUGUAAAAAGGUCACCACACCAAAAACGUAUAAAAAUGAAAAGACAGAGAACUAUAACUCAGAUGAGGGAGAAAGGAAAAACCCCAGAAAAUCAGCUAAGCAAUGAGGAGAUUCUUAGCCUCCAGGAAAAAGACUUUAGACUGUUGAUGCUGAAGAUGAUGCAAGACAUUGGAAAUAAAAGAUGGAUAACAUUGGAGGCAAAGAUGGAUAACUUACAGGAAACACUGAGCAAAGAGAUACAAGAUAUAAAACUUAAACAAGAAGAGAUGCAAAAUACAAUAACUGAAAUAAAAAAUUCACUAGAAGCAGCUAACAGCAGAAUACAGGAGGCAGAAGAACAAAUAAGCGAGGUGGAGGACAGAU